CAAGCUAUAUGAAUAUAAGACAUUGCUUAAUUUUGUGUUUACUUUGAUGUUUCUCCAGUAAUUAGUUGUGAGGGCAGUCUCUCUUGCCAUUGCUCGGGGUGGUGCCAGUGGUGGUGUUGUUCGGACAGUGACUAUCAACAAAGAUGGCGUUACUAGAAAGUUCUAUCCCGGGGACACCCUCCCUCUAUGGCAUGAAGAAAUGGAACCCCAGAAUUCACUGUUGGAUACUUUAUCAGCUGCAAGUCCUGAACCAAUGGCUAUUGUGUAUUUCUGGGAGCUACUCCAAUUUCAUGGAAGACCAAAAAGAAGACUGCAGUUGCUAGAUCGUCAGCGGAGGCUGAGUAUAGAAGCAUGGCAGCUGCAGUCU